AUUGAACGCUGGCGGCAGGCCUAACACAUGCAAGUCGAACGGUAGCACAGAGAGCCUGCUCUUGGGUGACGAGUGGCGGACGGGUGAGUAAUGUCUGGGAAACUGCCCGAUGGAGGGGGAUAACUACUGGAAACGGUAGCUAAUACCGCAUAACGUCGCAAGACCAAAGUGGGGGACCUUCGGGCCUCACACCAUCGGAUGUGCCCAGAUGGGAUUAGCUAGUAGGUGGGGUAAUGGCUCACCUAGGCGACGAUCCCUAGCUGGUCUGAGAGGAUGAACAGCCACACUGGAACUGAGAAACGGUCCAGACUCCUACGGGGGGCAGCAGUGGGGAAUAUUGCACAAUGGGCGCAAGCCUGAUGCAGCCAUGCCGCGUGUAUGAAGAAGGCCUUCGGGUUGUAAAGUACUUUCAGCGAGGAGGAAGGCAUUAAGGUUAAUAACCUUAGUGAUUGACGUUACUCGCAGAAGAAGCACCGGCUAACUCCGUGCCAGCCGCCGCCGUAA
rnacentral:rRNA from 1 species